GUCUACGGCCAUGCCACUCUGAACACGCCUAAUCUUAUCUAAUCUUGGAAGCUAAGCAGGGUCUGGCCUGGUUAGUACUUAGAAGGGAGACCACCUAGAAAGACCAGGUGCUGUAGGCG
rnacentral:rRNA from 1 species